rnacentral:rRNA from 1 species
UGGGGAAUAUUGCGCAAUAGGGGAAACCCUGACGCAGCGACGCCGCGUGGGUGAUGAAGGCCUUCGGGUCGUAAAGCCCUGUAGGAGAGGAAAGAAGCACCGACAGGAACAAUACCCUGUUGGUUUGACGGUACCUCUCCAGAAAGCACCGGCUAACUCCGUGCCAGCAGCCGCGGUAAGACGGAGGGUGCUAACGUUGCUCGGAAUUACUGGGCGUAAAGCGCGUGUAGGCGGGUCGAAAAGCGAGAUGUGAAAGCCCUCGGCUUAACCGAGGAAGUGCAUUUCGAACUAUCGACCUUGAGUGCGGGAGAGGGAGGUAGAAUUCCAGGUGUAGAGGUGAAAUUCGUAGAUAUCUGGAGGAAUACCGGUGGCGAAGGCGGCCUCCUGGACCGACACUGACGCUGAGACGCGAAAGCGUGGGGAGCAAACAGG